rnacentral:lncRNA from 10 species
AGCUACAUCCGUCACCUGACACGGCCCUACCAGGAACAGCCGCGCUCCCGCGGAUUCUGGUGCUGCUCGCGUCCCCGCUCCCCUAUUCCCCUUAUUUUAUUCCUGGCUCCCCUCGUCGAAAGUCUUCCAUUCUUCAAACUAGAUUAUUUAAAAAUGAAAAAGGAAGAAAGGAAAGCGAGGUCAUCUCAUUGCUCUAUCCGCCAAUCAGGAGGCUGAAUGUCAGUUUUGAACUAAAAGCCGCUCCGCUCCUCUUCUAGAUUUGGAAAACAAGCGAAAUUAAACUAAACCGCUGCACGCCUCUGACGCGACAUCUGGACACGGCGCGGCGCUGGCGCUGCCGGAGCUGUCGACCCGGCCUGGCGCCGGACUAGUGUCCCUUUUGAUGAGAAGAAUAAGCCUCAUUCUGAUUCAACAGCAGAGAUCAAAGAAAAGACUUCUGUUUUCUGGCCACCAGAUAUAUGUUAUCUGUGCUUAAAGAAUUGAAAAACACACAUCAAAGGAGAAUUUUCUUGGAAAGAGAGGGUUCAAGCAUCACUGUUAGGUGUGCUGGAAUCCUUUCCCGAGUCAGUACUGCUUUCUAGAAGAAAACCGGGGAGAUCUAUUUGGAAUGUAUCUAACUCCAAAGAAACCAUCAGAGGUAACAGUAGAGACGGGGUUUCACCAUGUUGGCCAGACUGGUCUUGAACUCUCGACCUCGUGAUUCGCCCGCCUCGGCCUCCCAAAGUGCUGGGAUUACAGGUGUGAGACACCACACCCGGCGGAUAGAGAGAAUUUUGACAGAUAUGACACAUUCAUAAUUUAAACAGAAGCCUACGAAGAACUCAUAAAUUAAAAGAAGAUAAUCUUUUCACAAGGUGAUGGAGGCUUUUUAUUUUGCCACAAAACCACUGGUGACGUUGCCUGUGGCCACCUUGGAGAAGACACUGGAGACAGGGUCUCACUCUGUCACCCAGGCUGGAGUGUAUUGGCAUGAUUACAGCUCACUGCAACCUUGAACUCCCAGGCUCAAACCUGAGCAGCUGGGACUACAGAUGCACCACCAUGCAUGGAUGAUUACGGAGCUAGGAAUUUCCUACGAAGCUGGGUGAUAAAAGGACAUUGGACAAAAACACAGAUAGCUUCAUUCUAUACCAGGAUCCAUCACUGAUUAGCUGUAUUAUAUUUGUCUCUACUGUAAUUUGAGGAGAAUGAUACCUGCUUCUCUAUCUUGUUGGGUUUUACAGAUGAUGUAUUGAAAGUUCAAUAAAAUCUAUAAACAAU